AUGGACCCGCGGCGCAUUAACUAGUUGGUGAGGUAACGGCUCACCAAGGGGACGAUGCGUAGCCGACCUGAAAGGGUGAUCGGCCACACUGGGACUGAAACACGGCCCAAACUCCUACGGGAGGGAGCAGUAGGGAAUCUUCCGCAAUGGACGAAAGUCUGACGGAACAACCCCCCGUGAGUGAUGAAGGUUUUCGGAUCGUAAAACUCUGUUGUUAGGGAAGAACAAGUACCGUUCGAAUAGGGGGGGACCUUGACGGUACCUAACCAGAAAGCCACGGCUAACUACCUGCCAACAGCCGCGGUAAUACCUAAGUGGCAAGCGUUGUCCGGAAUUAUUGGGCGUAAAGCGCGCGCAGGCGGUUUCUUAAGUCUGAUGUGAAAGCCCCCGGCUCAACCGGGGAGGGUCAUUGGAAACUGGGGAACUUGAGUGCAGAAAAAGAGAGUGGAAUUCCACGUGUAGCGGUGAAAUGCGUAGAGAUGUGGAGGAACACCAGUGGCGAAAGCGACUCUCUG
rnacentral:rRNA from 1 species